UCGAGAAUCUUUCACAAUGGGCGAAAGCCUGAUGGAGCGACGCCGCGUGGAGGUUAAGGUCUUCGGAUUGUAAACUCCUGUCAUGCGAGAACAAAGCCCGCAAGGGUGUGAUAGUACCGCAAGAGGAAGAGACGGCUAACUCUGUGCCAGCAGCCGCGGUAAUACAGAGGUCUCAAGCGUUGUUCGGAAUUACUGGGCGUAAAGGGUGCGCAGGCCGCGCGGGCAGUCAAAUGUGAAAUCCAGAGGCUCAACCUCUGAAUUGCGCUUGAUACUUCCGUGCUAGAACUUUGGAGAGGGAUCUGGAAUUCUCGGUGUAGCAGUGAAAUGCGUGGAUAUCGAGAAGAACACUCAGGGCGUGGGCAAGAUCCUGGACAAAUGUUGACGCUCAUGCACGAAGGCUAGGGUAGCGAA
rnacentral:rRNA from 1 species